GCCGUCGGUAGUGCAACGGUUCAGCACGAGCUCCCAGAAAGAGUGAGCUCUGGGUUUGAUACCCAGCUGAAGCA